CCCUUAGAUGUUCUGGGCUGCACGCGUGCUACAAUGGCGUUUCCAGCAAGUCUGCGAACCCGAGAGGGCCAGCGGAUCUUCGAAUUGGCGUCGUGAUCGGGACAGUCGAUUGCAAUUAUUUGACUCAAACGAGGAAUUCCUUGUAAUCGCGAUUCAUCAUAUCGCGCUGAAUACGUCCCUGCCCUUUGUACACAUCGCCCGUCGCUCCUACCGAUUGAGCGAUCCGGUAAAUGUUUUGGAUUGGUGCCGGGGCGGCUAGCUGCCGGUCGCUACGAAAUUUUGUGAACCUUAUCGCUUAGAGGAAGGAAAAGUCGUAACA
rnacentral:rRNA from 1 species